CCUUUGGGGUCCGAGUUGUAAUUUGCAGAGGUGCUUCGGGUGCGGUCCCCGUCUAAGUGCCCUGGAACGGGCCGUCAUAGAGGGUGAGAAUCCCGUCUGGGAUGGGCGGCCGCGCCCGUGUGAAGCUCCUUCGACGAGUCGAGUUGUUUGGGAAUGCAGCUCUAAGCGGGUGGUAAAUUUCAUCUAAAGCUAAAUACUGGCCGGAGACCGAUAGCGCACAAGUAGAGUGAUCGAAAGAUGAAAAGCACUUUGAAAAGAGAGUUAAACAGCACGUGAAAUUGUUGAAAGGGAAGCGUUGUCCACCAGACUCGCCCGGGGGGGUUCAGCCGGCACGUGUGCCGGUGUACUCCUCUCCGGGCGGGCCAGCAUCGGUUUGGGCGGCUGGUGAAAGGCCCCGGGAAUGUGCCACCCUUCGGGGUGCCUUAUAGCCCGGGGUGCCAUACAGCCAGCCUGGACCGAGGCCCGCGCUUCGGCGAGGAUGCUGGCGUAAUGGUGGUCAACGGCCCGUCUUGA
rnacentral:rRNA from 1 species